rnacentral:tRNA from 1 species
AGCAGCGUGGCUCAGUGGAAAGAGCCUGGGGCUUUGGGAGUCAGAGGUCAUGGGUUCGACUCCCAGCUCUGCCA